rnacentral:lncRNA from 1 species
GGGUAUUCAUAAAAUAUCAGAGCUAGUUCCAUCCCAUUGCCAUCAGAACAUGUUGCAGCUUGGACUGAAAUUGGAAUUUAGUAGUGGGACCCACUCGUAGGUGUCUAGUAUUGACAGGGUGGAUGCAGUCAUGCCUUACGACAUUAAUUGACAAACAUGCUUUCUUCCUAACUUCUGCGCUUCUUCCGUUUAUCCGUUACAUUUUCUUUCCCAUCAUUCUCCACGUGUCCCCUUUUCCUUGUUCUUUGCUACUUUGAUCUUCACGUCCUAUUUCGUCCAGUUAAAAUUUUGCACGUUCUUCAUUUGGUCCAUGAAGUUGUAGAAUUAGAAUAAAGAGUACUGAUUAUAACUCAUAAUCUCAUACAUUAAUAAAUAAAAGAGUACUAAAUUUAUACAAUGUCAGUAUAAAGAUGUAUGUAUAAUUAAUAUAUCAUCUAUCGUUUAUUUGAAUUAUUUUAAAAAAUUAAUGAUAAUAAAAAUGAAUGAUAAUGAUAUAAAAACUUACACUACCAAUAUAUACAUUUUUCUGUAAAUAAAAUAAAAUAUGUCACUGCGAAUGAACAAUCAUUAAAUAAAGGAAAAAUGUAUAUUACAAUCAAGUUUAAUUUUAUUACAAUCAAGUUUUAAACUUCUCUAAAUAUUAAUACCAAUUUUAAUUUUAUUACAAGUUUUAAACUUCUCUAAUUCAUAAAAGGGAAUGUAGUAUCUCCUACUAUCAGGAGAUAACAUGUGUCAUGUUUCAUUAUUUUCUAUAAAAAUAUUUUUAAAAAUAAACAAAAUAGUACACAUGUCAUAUUUGGCUAGAGGAGAUAAGUUAUCUCCUAAUAUGAUGAGAUACAUUAUUCUCUUCAUAAAAUAGGUAUUUCUAUUAAAUCUCUGUUAAUUUAUUUAAUGGUGAAUUAGACCUUUAAUUUUUUUUAAUCUAUACACCGUUAAUUUAUUUAUUUAAAAACAUAAUAAAAAAAUAGCAAUAGUGAUAACACUAUUCUUCAGCCUAAAUGAUCAAAGAGAAAAAUAUAUCUUGGCUCAUCAAGUCUCAACAUACAGUCCCCCUUCCCCCUUUAAUAUUCAACUUCAGCCCUCCUAUUUAACUCUACCAGUAGAAAAUCAACACCAAUAACCAUUUUAAUUCCCUCAUAUUUCUCCUUUUCUUACAUUUCCAUAAUUUCAUUAUCAAUAAAUAGUUAGAAGAGUUUAUCGAUAAUUCAGAUGAUGAAGCAGAGGAUAUAUAUAUAUAUAUAUAUAUAUAUAUAUAUAUAUGACAUUAUAAGAGAUGCACAUUUACUUAAAUAAAUAAACAGUUAGAUGUAUAAAAGUCAUGCAAGCAAUCCUGGAAUUCUUACAAUCAUGCCCAAUAGUAAAGAUGUUCAACAAUUGUCUAACUAUGAUGAUACUGUUAGAUUGUUGAGCAUUGAUGGGAAUGAUAGCUCAUAAAAAUGGCUUGAGUUUAAUGAGAAAACUGACUUGCAUGAGUAUACAGAGCUUGUGAAUGAGAUGAAAUUUGACUCUAAUGACACAUUUGGAAAGGCUCUUAUUAAGUAACCAUCAAAAGAGGUUAUGAUAUUAAGUACACUCAUAAUAACAAAAGUAGAGUCACUAUUAUGUGCAAGGAUAAAUGUGGCCGGAGGAUUCAUGCUUCUCUAACACAAGAUAAGUCAUGUUUCCAAAUUAAGAGCUUCAACCUACUACAUGAAUGUGGAAGGCAUUGCCAGAACAAAAGGGUCACAACAAAAUGGGUUGCUAAUAAAUACCUAAAAAGCUUUAGGGAUUCCCCUAACUAGGAGGCUAGCAUUUUAAAAUUUGUUGUACAAAGCGAUCAUAUAAGGUAAUUAUAUCAAUUACGAAGCAUAUCAUGCCAAGACUCUUGCUUUGAAAAUCAUACACGGUGAUGA